rnacentral:rRNA from 1 species
CCUACGUGUGGCAGCAGUGGGGAAUAUUGCACAAUGGGGGAAACCCUGAUGCAGCGACGCCGCGUGAGUGAAGAAGUAUUUCGGUACGUAAAGCUCUAUCAGCAGGGAAGAAAAUGACGGUACCUGACUAAGAAGCCCCGGCUAACUACGUACCAGCAGCCGCGGUAAUACGUAGGGGGCAAGCGUUAUCCGGAUUUACUGGGUGUAAAGGGAGCGUAGACGGCGGAACAAGUCAGAAGUGAAAACCCGGGGCUCAACCCUGGGAGUGCUUUUGAAACUGUUUGGCUGGAGUGCAGGAGAGGUAAGCGGAAUUCCUAGUGUAGCGGUGAAAUGCGUAGAUAUUAGGAGGAACACCAGUGGCGAAGGCGGCUUACUGGACUGUAACCGACGUUGAGGCUCGAAAGCGUGGGGAGCAAACAGGAUUAGAUACCCCUGUAGUC